rnacentral:sRNA from 2 species
CCCUAAAGAACGCUGAAUCCGAACAAGGAGCGGGGGAACCAACCGUGGUCGUUGACCACAUGGGGUGAAUCUCGUUCAGGGAGUAUAUGUUCCUGAACGGGUAGGGUGACUCUCAUCACCCGAAUCCGUCAGCUAACCUCGUAAGCGUGGUGAGAGGAGGG